AACUCACCCGGGUUCAUACCCGGGUACAAUGCACUGAACUUCAAAAUAGGUGCAUUGGGGGAACCGCCUGAACUGAAACAUCUAAGUAGGGCGAGGAAGAGAAAUCAACCGAGAUUCCGCUAGUAGUGGCGAGCGAACGCGGACCAGGCCAGUGGCUAUAGGAUAAGAACCGGAACCGUCUGGAAAGUCGGGCCUUAGUGGGUGACAGCCCCUUACGGGUAGAAAAUCUUAUAGUCCUUGAGUAGGGCGGGACACGUGAAAUCCUGUCUGAACGUGGGGGGACCACCCUCCAAGC
rnacentral:rRNA from 16 species